rnacentral:lncRNA from 1 species
GGACAGGGUAAUGGUGGGGUCUGUGUGCACUGUUUACAGACUUCAGGUGAGGAGAGAGAGGGCUAUUCCAGAGAGACCGGAGUCAUGAGGAUCAAUAUGUCCAAAACCUUACCAUGCAUUUCUAGGGGCUAGGCCUUCACAACUCUGCGACCCAUGUGACACCAAGGGCAGAGGAAGACAAGUUCUUCCAAGAAACCACCAUCCUCCACCUCUGUUAAGAGCGCUUUCCAGAGGCUCUCUACUCCUGAAGCAAAGAGGAGACCAGGUACUCAGAAGCCACACAGGGAGGCGGCUUCACAACACCAGGAGGCCCUAGAGUGGAGUCUUCAUUGACUAAUCUCUUCCUGCCCAGGGUCUUUGUUUAACCAAAGCCUGCUCCUUCUGGUUCCAUUCUUUCUUCUACAAAGAGGAGGUAUUGCAGAAGUCCCAAAGCCACAGAGACUCGCCUCUAACUCGUUUUGCAGUCCAAUUAUCUAAAUUAUUGCUUUGCCCUGGCACGAAAGGAGGAGGCUCGAUUUAAAAGUCGCUUCGAGAUAAGUGCUUGGUUGCCUCCCCUGUCAACAAUGCAUAAUAAUUUUGAUCAGGCGCUCAUCACGUUUUGAUAGCAGCCACAAUGGCUGUGACCGGGUCUCCGGGGGGACUUUAUUUUUAGCUACAAAAUCACAAAGGAGGAGCCAGGAGGAGACUUCACAUAAGGCAGCCUGAGCUUUUGAAUGCUGCCUCCACAAGGCCAGCCAAAAAAUUGGGUUUGGCUUCCGGAGAGUGUGGGAGGCUCCCGGGGCUGGAACACGGGCAGCCUGGAAGGGGCAUCCACUGUCUUGUGCAGAAUAAGUGUCUCUCCAGGAGAUGCUAGCUGGAUCUCCAGUCCUGGCACGGAUGGGAGAAGAGAUAGUUAUUUCCAGCUGAGCAGCCCAAGCCUGCAAGAGCGAGAAAGAAAACUAACAGUCUGGAGUGGGACUCAGAAAGAGGCUGCGUGCUGACAGCUGGAGAUCCUGACAGAGGUCUGCUACAGUUCUGUGGUGUCCAUGUCUCUCCAGGCCUAUUACCCUAGGUAAGAAGUCAUUCGGGAUCCCACCACAAUGGGAGACAUUUCUUUUUAAAAGAGGAACUUUGAAAUAGGUUGUGUCGAUGGGCAGUGGUGGCGCACGCCUUUAAUCCCAGCACUUGGGAGGCAGAGGCAGGUGGAUUUCUGAGUUUGAGGCCAGCCUGGUCUACAGAGUGAGUUCCAGGGCAGCCAGAGCUACACAGAGAAACCCUG